CAAUAGCGUAUAUUUAAGUUGUUGCAGUUAAAAAGCUCGUAGUUGGAUUUCUGCUGAUCGCUGUCGGUCUGCCGUCAGGUGUGUACUGGCAGUGUUUGGCAUCUAUUCGAGAUUGGGUGUCCACUUGAUUGUGUGCACUCGAUGUCGGAGCUAAUACUUUGAGAAAAUUAGAGUGUUCCACGCAGGCGCGUGCCUUGAAUACUGCAGCAUGGGAUAUUGGAAGGCCGAUUGAGCUCUCUUGUUGGUUCUCGGUUUGAUCGGAAUGAUUAAUAGGGAUAGUUGGGGGCAUUCGUAUUCAACUGUCAGAGGUGAAAUUCUUGGAUUUGUUGAAGACGGACUACUGCGAAAGCAUCUGCCAUGGAUGUUCUCAUUGA
rnacentral:rRNA from 1 species